CAGCAGCCGCGGUAAUACGAAGGGUGCAAGCGUUAAUCGGAAUUACUGGGCGUAAAGCGUGCGUAGGCGGUUUGUUAAGUCUGCUGUGAAAUCCCCGGGCUCAACCUGGGAAUGGCAGUGGAUACUGGCAAGCUAGAGUGUGUCAGAGGAUGGUGGAAUUCCCGGUGUAGCGGUGAAAUGCGUAGAGAUCGGGAGGAACAUCAGUGGCGAAGGCGGCCAUCUGGGACAACACUGACGCUGAGGCACGAAAGCGUGGGGAGCAAACAGGAUUAGAUACCCCCGUAGUCCCUGUCUCUUUACC
rnacentral:rRNA from 1 species